GCAUCUAGAUUAGAGUUUGAUCCUGGCUCAGAUUGAACGCUAGCGGGAUGCUUUACACAUGCAAGUCGAACGGCAGCGCGGACUUCGGUCUGGCGGCGAGUGGCGAACGGGUGAGUAAUGUAUCGGAACGUGCCCAGUAGCGGGGGAUAACUACGCGAAAGCGUGGCUAAUACCGCAUACGCCCUACGGGGGAAAGGGGGGGAUCGCAAGACCUCUCACUAUUGGAGCGGCCGAUAUCGGAUUAGCUAGUUGGUGGGGUAAAGGCCUACCAAGGCGACGAUCCGUAGCUGGUUUGAGAGGACGACCAGCCACACUGGGACUGAGACACGGCCCAGACUCCUACGGGAGGCAGCAGUGGGGAAUUUUGGACAAUGGGGGAAACCCUGAUCCAGCCAUCCCGCGUGUAUGAUGAAGGCCUUCGGGUUGUAAAGUACUUUUGGCAGAGAAGAAAAGGUAUCCCCUAAUACGGGAUACUGCUGACGGUAUCUGCAGAAUAAGCACCGGCUAACUACGUGCCAGCAGCCGCGGUAAUACGUAGGGUGCAAGCGUUAAUCGGAAUUACUGGGCGUAAAGCGUGUGUAGGCGGUUCGGAUAGAAAGAUGUGAAAUCCCAGGGCUCAACCUUGGAACUGCAUUUUUAACUGCCGAGCUAGAGUAUGUCAGAGGGGGGUAGAAUUCCACGUGUAGCAGUGUAAUGCGUAGAUAUGUGGAGGA
rnacentral:rRNA from 1 species